GAGACGCUGGUGCUACCCAGGGAGGGGUUCCUCCACGUUUCUUCCUGUUCUGUAGUUUUGCUGUUACAUUCGGCCACGGAGUUGCUAAAGCUGCAAAUGUGUUGGUGGCGAAAGAAAAGCCGAGCUAUCCUCAGAUGGUCCUGGGUGGCUGCAGACAGCGAACGCGCCAUAGAAGAUGGGAUAAACCCUAUCAAGUAUGCUGUUCAGGUGGUAUUUCAAGCCUCUCUACAUGUUCAAACCAACUGAACCUCGCUGCAGAUCUACAAGGGGCUGUGCGAUCCCUGUGGUGCUUUGAAUGAGAAAUGUUCCCCACAGCCUUGGGCAUCUGAAUACCCGGACCCGGUCCCGGUCCCGGUCCCGGUGAACGGCACCGUUUGGGUGUCUAGGCAGUGAGGACUUGCUGGAGGAAUUACUUUACCAGGGGCAGGAUUUGAGGUUAAGAAGAUUUCCUAACUUCUAGCUUGUUUUGUGGUUGCCAUUGAGGAUGCCAACUCUCAACCGUUCCAGCUGCUAUGUCUGCCUGUUUCUUUGCCACUUCGUGGAAAUGGCGCUGGGCC